ensembl:lncRNA
CAGGAGUGGCCUCCUCCCUGAGCUCCCCGUUCUUGGAUGUGCCACAGAGGGAUCCGGCGCCUCCAGAGGCACACAUGCUGGUUGAAUCUGACGUCUGCAUCCCUGAUGAGGAUUCUCUGCUGCUCAAGGUUUAUCAGUGUCAUAUCACUUCUAACAGAGGAAAACUAAGACCCUGAGUGGAUUCUGUACCAACUGAACCAGCAGGCAAGCAGCCAGAAAGCUGCCUGGAGCCAUUUCUGACUGCAAACUCUUGACUAUGUUCUCUUAAACCUCAUUUCUGUACUUCUACAACACUUUUCUUCAUGCCUACCUGUGCACCCAACUUAUUUUUCUUUCUUCCUUACAGGUAUGUCUGUGUCUUGCUCAUCUGUUUCCCUUAUAAUGUCUGGCUCAAUGCUUUCCAAAAAGUCAACGUCCAAUAAAUAUUUGUUGAAUUGAAAAACUGUAAUUUUUGCCAAGAAAAUGUCUUUUUAUCUUUGAAAAAUUGAUUCAGUUCAGUUCAGUUCAGUCCAGUUCAGUCACUCAGUCGUGUCCGACUCUGCGACCCCAUGAAUUGCAGCACGCGAGCCUCCUUGUCCAUCACCAACUCCCGG